GACGAACGCUGGCGGCGUGCUUAACACAUGCAAGUCGAACGGAAAGGCCCUGCUUGCAGGGUCCUCGAGUGGCGAACGGGUGAGUAACACGUGGGUGAUCUGCCCUGCACUUCGGGAUAAGCUUGGGAAACUGGGUCUAAUACCGGAUAGGACCGCACUUUAGUGUGUGUGGUGGAAAGUUUUUUCGGUGUAGGAUGAGCUCGCGGCCUAUCAGCUUGUUGGUGGGGUAAUGGCCUACCAAGGCGGCGACGGGUAGCCGGCCUGAGAGGGUGUACGGCCACAUUGGGACUGAGAUACGGCCCAGACUCCUACGGGAGGCAGCAGUGGGGAAUAUUGCACAAUGGGCGCAAGCCUGAUGCAGCGACGCCGCGUGGGGGAUGAAGGCCUUCGGGUUGUAAACUCCUUUCGCUAGGGACGAAGCUUUUUGUGACGGUACCUAGAUAAGAAGCACCGGCUAACUACGUG
rnacentral:rRNA from 1 species